AAGCAUCCUAGUACUUAUAGAUCUAAAGAAGCUGGGAGCCUGGCUUCUGUUCUCCCCUGACAUAGAUCACAUCAGCAUGUGUGUCUGUUAGACUCAAGCUGCUGCAGCACCUCUUAAAAUGUACAACUGACUGACAAUGGAAGUGGUACUUAGCGAAGUAAGGGAAAUGCUUUCAAAAAUGGUGCUGUAGCAAUAGUCAAUCUUCUGGAAACAAAAAUCUAUUCUUUAUUAACGAUUUGAG